UGGGGAAUUUUGGACAAUGGGCGCAAGCCUGAUCCAGCCAUGCCGCGUGAGUGAAGAAGGCCUUCGGGUUGUAAAGCUCUUUCGGUUGGGAAGAAAUUGCACUAGAUAAUACCUAGUGUAGAUGACGGUACCAGCAUAAGAAGCACCGGCUAACUACGUGCCAGCAGCCGCGGUAAUACGUAGGGUGCGAGCGUUAAUCGGAAUUACUGGGCGUAAAGCGUGCGCAGGCGGUUUUGUAAGUCAGAUGUGAAAUCCCCGGGCUCAACCUGGGAACUGCAUAUGAGACUGCAAGACUAGAGAAUGGCAGAGGGGGGUAGAAUUCCACGUGUAGCAGUGAAAUGCGUAGAGAUGUGGAGGAAUACCGAUGGCGAAGGCAGCCCCCUGGGUCACUACUGACGCUCAAGCACGAAAGCGUGGGGAGCAAACAGG
rnacentral:rRNA from 1 species